GCUAAGGGGGCGGGUGUUCAGUUUGGGAGGCAUCCGCAUUGGGCCAUGAUGAGUGAGAAGUCACGUGAUCACAGGUGAAUGCCCAUACUAACUACCCAAAGCAAUCUCUAGAUUCGGUGCGGUCCCUAUCAAAAUCCCACAGCGCUUUUCACAGAAAUACAACAAACAGUUCUAAAAUCUGCAUGCCGUCACCACGACACAGAGCAGCCCUAGCAAUCUGGGGAAGGAACAACGCCUUGGCAUCACCUACCUGACUGUAAGUAUUUCACAAAGCUAUAGUGCUCAAAACAGGAUGGCCUUGGUGAAACACACGUAGGUCCAUGGAACAGAGCAGAAAUAAGCCCCGGCACAUAUGGGCAAUUAACUUAUGACAAAGGAGGGGCACCUGGGUGGCUCAGUCGGUUAAGCCUCUGAUUUCAGCUCAGGUCAGAUCUCACGUUCGUGGGUUCGAGCCCUGCAUCAGGCUCUGUGCUGACAGCUAGCUCAGAGCUUGGAGCCUGCUUCGGAGUCUGUGUCUCCCUCUCUUUCUACCCCUUUCCUGCUUGCACUCUGUCUCUCUCUCUCUCUCAAAAAUAAAUAAACAUUAAAAAAGUUGGACGCUUAGCCGUAUGAGCCACCAGGCACCCCUGCUUUAGCUGCCUUGUAAUUAAAUCACUGCGUGUCUGUUGAGGACUAAUUCUGUGCUGGUGUGUGGCAGUUUCAGGGGCUGCAAAGAUAAGCGAGACACGAAGGAGGGGGAGACACAUGGGCACACAGCGUCAGAAAAGUUCUUUGCCAGCGUGAGGACUUACUGGUAUUAGAUGUUAUUCUGAGAAAGUGGAGGAGGUCAGCUUCGGGCAGGGGCCACCGCAGCGGGUGUUUCCAGGCUGGGAAGAGGAGGACGGGGGGAGCCCCGUGGGGAGAAACGUGAGGCAGAAGGCAUCAUGGGGUUUCAGGAGCCGGCUGUCAAGCCUAAAUUCCUGGAAACGGACUUUGGAACCGCCCAGAACACGGAAGAAAAACGAUCUUGGGGGAUACAUAUGGGUCAGUAGAGACCCAAGUAGAGAGGGUGAACCGGGGCCCUGACCUCACUCGUUGCCGGCCUCGGACCUCGGCCACUGCUAGGAAGGCUCCUUUUCAAAGCAACUGCUUGUU
rnacentral:lncRNA from 1 species